UAAUUUUUUUUCUCUCUCCCCUGCGCCUCCCCUGCUCCGCGAAGAACGAAGAAUGGAUGAUUAAUUUGAUGAAACUCGAAGAAAACUUGAAGAUUCAACAUCAUAUUGAAAGAACAAGAUAAGUUUCUCAUCAUAUUUUUGUUCCUAUUGGUUCUCAUUAUGUUUUAACCAAAAAGAAGUUCUGAAAAGUUUAUUGACAACUUCAAAUACCUAAUAAAUUCGAUUUUACUUAGAAGUUUGAUCUGAUUUUAGAAUCGUUGCUUCGAUCUAUCACCCUUUUAUCAUUUUCUUUGAUUCGAACUAUUUUUUUUCGAAUUUUGUUUACGAAAUAUUUUUUAGGGUUUGUAAUCAGCCCUGAUUUGUAAUUUUUUUAUGAUUUCAACUAAAUUUUCUCGAUGAAAUCAAGAUUAGAGUUCAGAUCUGUUAUAAUCUAAUCCUUAUCUUUCCUUUAACAUGCAAAAUCCUGAAAGUAAAUCACAUAGUUUUUUCUAGGUUUUUUUAUUGAAGAUCAAUCGAUCAAUUUAUCUUAAAUCUCUUUUGAAAAUCAGUUUUCAUAUUCGAAAUCUACGAAUCAUCAUCUCUACUACCCAUCUAUUUGUUAUUAGGUUCGUACUAGAAUAAAUAUGUGUUGCACAAGUAUGUAUCAUUUAGGAAGGAGUGGUACUUGUUUAUGAUGUUUAUAAUUUGACUAUGAUUAUUGAUUUGAUAAGUAUUUUAAUUUUGUCACUACUAAGUUGGUGGUCUUUUCAUCACACAGGUGUGGUAGAAAACAGAGUGGUGUAUAUUUGGACGGAGUUGCUCCUGAUGGUGUGGUAGAAAACAGAGUGGUGUAUAUUUGGACGGAGUUGCUCCUGAUGGUGUAAUGGGACUGGGACUAGAGGACAUUUCAAUUCUAAGUUCUCUAGCAAAAGCUGGAUUGGCGCCAAACUCUUUCUCAUUGUGCUUUGAUGUGACUCUAGGAGAAUUUUCUUGGGGACAAAGGAGCUGCAUCUGAAAAAUCCACAUCUUUCUUGCCAUUGGAUGGGAAAAUUGAUGCCUACAUGGUUGGAGUGGAGGGUUGUUGCGUAGGGAGUUCUUGUCUAGCGCAAACUAAGUUCCAAGCACAGGUUGAUAGUGGCACGUCAUUCACGUUCCUUCCGACGAAAGUAUAUGGGGAAGUCGUCUCGGAGGAACAAGAAAACUCUGGAGAGAAGCAGGUCAAUUAUCAGUGUCGAUGUUCGUUUAUGGAAAGAAACCUUAAGUUAUGCUAUCACUCUCUAUUCACUUGUAAUGUUGGAUGCUAAGUAUGUUGUACUAGCUUUUCAGCUAUUCAAACUUGAAAUCAUAGGUUUUCGUUAUCUUAGAUGCUUAUUUUGUGUAAAAUUCAGGCAAUGUACAAAAGAGACAAAAUGAGCUCACAGUCAAGAUUUAACAGUUCAACGGAUUAUAAUUGAGCUAGAGUCAGGUAGAGGUUUCAGAGGAGUAUUUUGGAGUCGGUGGUGCAGAAGUGAUAUCAAUUUUACAUCUAGGAAGUACAGACGGGUUGGGUCCAUCCAAAUACUUUAAUUGAAAAUUAACCUCAAUUUUACAUCUUCAAUUUCACUUGAAAACCUCGAGGACAUUGAGAAAGAGAACCUGGAGAAGCUCACAUGCAAGGAGCUAACUAGGGGUAUUGGUGUUGGUGGUAAUUCUGAUUUUGGUAUGAAUGCUGCUUAAGAGAAAGUAGAGAAGCAGUAGAGGAGACACUUUUAUGGUUCUGAGAUCGUAUUUGUAAUGGUGCAGAGACAUAUAAAGGGAGGCGCAAAAAACACAAAAGAACUACCUUUUUAUAACCAUUUUGACGCCUGCAAGUGUGACAGAGAUCGUGAAAUAUUGAAGGUUGAAAGAAACAAUUGGUGCGAUUUCCGGUUUGAAUUUGCAAUCAGAUCAGUUUUGGUGUUUCUUAUCACUAUCAGCAUCAUCGGAUUAAUCUUGUAGCUGCCUAUAUGCUUGUGAAUUUUUGCUUACAAUGAACAACUUCAGUAUUCGAGCCUUUUCAGUAACUGCAAGCAACAGUUCCAUGUUUGGAACCUUAGAUUUUAAUGAUAAGAAUUUCUCCUUACACAACUCAGUUGCAUGUGUAACUUCUCCUAACACAUUUCUAUAUGCAUGUGUAACUUCUCCUUACACUAGACAAGUUACACAAGUUAGAUGCUUGUGUAGCUCCUUGUUACACAUGCUAAAAUAAAAAAUAACUCCUUACACUAGGCUUCGGAGAUAAGUUAUCAUGUGCCUUUUAUGUGAUCUUUGUUCUAUAAUUUCGCCUUGUAAUUAUUCUAUAAUUUUGUUUCUUUAUUUUUUGUCCAUCCAACCUAAUUCCAUGGAUGUUUAUUCUUGUUUGUAGAUGUGCAAAUACAUUGAACCGAGAAAUACAAAAAAGGAAGGAAACAUUUCUAUUAUA